CUCAAACAGUCCUGUGACUCCUCACUAGGACUACCUUGGCCAAGGUUUUGCUAAAUUGAAAUACGACUGUACACAGCUCCUAAAUUGGAGUGGUCAAUCUCAUCUUGACACACGUACCGACAAGUCAAGUACUUGACUACACCCAGUAGCCUUUCGUCACUGAAUUAGAAAUUCAGGUAGUCCAGUGCCUAAGUGCAGUGAGUUGCUUGCAAGUCACCGUGGCGGUC
rnacentral:lncRNA from 1 species